UUUCCUUGCCUCUAACAUGGGAAUAAUGAUACUUACCCACAGAGUCAUAAGUUUCCCCCAGGGAAGUUGGAAAUGAUGAAAAAGUCAAUUCACUGGGAAAAAAAAGAAUGUAUCUUCUACUUGCACUGAUAUUGAGGAGGAGGAGGAGGGAAGACCCCAGAAGAAAGGCAUCAAUACAUCAAUAGGACAUAAUGUUGCAGAAGCAGCCUUCCCAGCACAAAGGAGAGAGUUUGUGACAGGAACUGAAGAAAGGAAACCUGAGUCCCAUUAACUGUCUCUGGAAACACUAUCCCAAAAUGUUCUCAUUUACGCCUACAGGUCAACUGUAACCCAUAUCUUCCCGGUCUCAAUCUUCAAAAUAUUUUUCAAUGGGCUUUUACAAAGAAAUUACAUCAGAUACAGUUACAAUCUUAACUCACUAUCACCCUAUCCAUCCACAAAAUACUUCCCUCCUACUCAAGCCUUAAUGACCAUGUAACUGAACCUGUC
rnacentral:lncRNA from 1 species